AUGGGCAAAUACUAUAUGCAUUUUUUUAAUCUUCUCUCUGAUGAGUGGAAGUAAUUACUGUACCAGAAAGUAUCACAAAUUGGUAUUUUCCCCCUAGAAAACCAAACUUAAUUUCUAAAGUUUCUAAAAAUAUGGUCCUCAAAGAAGAUAUUUUUAAAUGAUCACCUCUAAGUAGUAGUAUUAUAAUUGUUACAAUGAUUUCUGAAGUAGACAUCAGAAAUGUUUCAUGUGGUUGAAUGUUCCCUCCAGAAGCAUCUGGUUUUGCUUGGGAAGUGAAUGGUGACCCUAGACAGGCCAGUGGCAUGUGAGUUGUUUAAACUCUUGUUCUUAGACAUAACAUCACCAGAUAUGAUAGCAAGGAUGUUGUUGCAUUUCCCCAGUAGCCUCGCUCACAGCAUAUUCGAUCCUGUUUUCCCCACACCUCUGCCUUUGAGUAAUAUUGAACUAUUCCAGAAACCACUGGGUGAGAUGAAGAGCAGUUACUGCUCAAGACACAGAAAGCCACAGGCAAUUUCUAAAGAAGACUUCAUAGCCAAGAGGGAUCUCACCAUCACAGUUUGCAGUCCCCUGGUCUUGGAGUAUUUAAAGAUAAUCCCUGAAAGAGGUUGUCACUUACAUUUUGUGUUGGACUUGGCUCUUCCUGAUCAGAUCAGAAUUCUAGAACUUAGAUUAUUGAUCAUUGAAAAUUUGAUGUCUUUGUGGUUUGCAAUUCUCAUUUCCUAUGCUCCUCCUGAUAAGUUUAUUUUGAUGCAGACCAACAUAGCCUUCCCCCAGGCGAUCAGUUCUGUCUUCAGCAGUACUGUGGGAGUAAGGAGACCUUGGAGAUGGGGCUGGGGGUCCAUGCUCAGCUGAAAAAAAGAAUGCUGUAGACCCCUUGGGCCAAGCUAAAGUCACUGUGCCAAGGCUUCUCUGGCAGGCAUCUGACAGUCUCUACCUUCCUGCUCUGUAAGUUGAUCACAGUCUGCUGCCCCUGACAUGGAGAGUCUAGGGAAUGACAGCAUCGCCCAGAACACUUCAGCAGUUGAGAGGCUGCUGACGUAAGGGUUACAGUGAGGUUGUUGAGUGAGACACUUCAGAUACUGCAAGCUGAUUCAUAGCCCUCUCUAGAGACCAUUUUACCAGUGCAAAAUUAGACCGUUUCUUUCCAUGAUAAUAAUGGUUACCAAGUUGGAUGUCCUUGGCUUUUGUGAACUGAAUGAGUCCCAGUUGGCCUCCAUUUCAAAGUCUUUAACAGAGAUAUCCUAUGUAGUUUCCCCUGGGUUUCCUUUCUCUAAAGAGGAGGGUUGAGGCCUGUUGGCUGCCUGGGUAAUGUCACCUUACGCAGAGUUCCCAAAGGUUGGUAGGAGGGAAGUCCUUCGUUGCUUCUCACUAUGCUGCAGUGUCCUGAAUUCACUAUCUGUGGGUAUUCUCCUCUGCCCUGUUGUUCAAGCCUUUAUCACAUGGAUGGAUUCUUACCUUAGGUCUUUAACUUGUCUUCCCCAGGGAAGCUAAGCAAAGUGAUGUAAUGAAGCUAUCUUGUGCAGUAAAAUGU
rnacentral:lncRNA from 1 species